rnacentral:rRNA from 1 species
ACGUAGGUAGCGAGCGUUGUCCGGAAUUACUGGGUGUAAAGGGAGCGUAGGCGGGAUUGCAAGUUGAAUGUCAAAUCUACGGGCUUAACCCGUAGCCGCGUUCAAAACUGCAGUUCUUGAGUGAAGUAGAGGCAGGCGGAAUUCCUAGUGUAGCGGUGAAAUGCGUAAAUAUUAGGAGGAACACCAGUGGCGAAGGCGGCCUGCUGGGCUUUAACUGACGCUGAGGCUCGAAAGCGUGGGUAGCAAACAG